AUUGAACGCUGGCGGCAGGCCUAACACAUGCAAGUCGAGCGAUCGGCGGACGGGUGAGUCAUGUAUGGAGAUCUGCCCGAAAGAGGGGGAUAACUACUGGAAACGGUGGCUAAUACCGCAUACUAUCGCUUGUACCCAUAUGGGAUUAGCUAGAAGGUGGGGUAAAGGCGCACCAAGGCGACGAUCUCUAGCUGGUCUGAGAGGAUGAUCAGCCACACUGGGACGGAGACACGGCCCAGACUCCGACGGGAGGCAGCAGUGGGGAAUAUUGCACAAUGGGCUCAAGCCUGAUGGAGCAAUGCCGCGUGUAUGAAGAAGGCCUUAGGGUUGUAAAGUACUUUCAGCGGGGAGGCGUUACCCGCAGAAGAAGCACCGGAUAAAUCAGGGCCAGGAGCCGCGGUAAUUC
rnacentral:rRNA from 1 species